GUGGCAGCCGCCGCGGUAAUACGGAGGGUGCAAGCGUUAUCCGGAUUCAUUGGGUUUAAAGGGUGCGCAGGCGGAUACUUAAGUCAGUGGUGAAAUCCCGGGGCUCAACCCCGGAACUGCCAUUGAUACUGAAUAUCUGGAAUACGGUUGAAGUGGGCGGAAUGUAGCAUGUAGCGGUGAAAUGCAUAGAGAUGCUACAGAACACCGAUCGCGAAGGCAGCUCACUAAGCCGAUAUUGACGCUCAGGCACGAAAGCGUGGGGAGCGAACAGGAUUAGAUACCCUGGUAGUCCACGCCGUAAACGAUGAUAACUCGUUGUUGGCGACACACAGUCAGCGACUAAGCGAAAGCGAUAAGUUAUCCACCUGGGGAGUACGAUCGCAAGGUUGAAACUUAAAUGAAUUGGCGG
rnacentral:rRNA from 1 species